UACGUAGGGGGCAAGCGUUGUCCGGAAUUACUGGGCGUAAAGAGCUCGUAGGUGGUUUGUCGCGUUGUUCGUGAAAACUCACAACUCAACUUGUGGGCGUGCGGGCGAGUACGGGCAGACUGGAGUACUGCAGGGGAGACUGGAAUUCCUGGUGUAGCGGUGGAAUGCGCAGAUAUCAGGAGGAACACCGGUGGCGAAGGCGGGUCUCUGGGCAGUAACUGACGCUGAGGAGCGAAAGCGUGGGGAGCGAACAGG
rnacentral:rRNA from 1 species